AAUGACUCUCGACAACGGAUAUCUCGGCUCUCGCAUCGAUGAAGAACGUAGCGAAAUGCGAUACUUGGUGUGAAUUGCAGAAUCCCGUGAACCAUCGAGUCUUUGAACGCAAGUUGCGCCCGAAGCCAAUAGGCCGAGGGCACGUCUGCCUGGGUGUCACAC
rnacentral:rRNA from 2 species